rnacentral:tRNA from 1 species
GGUCCUGUGGUCUAGCGGUUCAAGGCGCCUCCCUGACACGGAGGAGAACGGUGGUUCGAUUCCACCCAGGAUCAC